UCCCUUCCAACUCCCAGGAUUCUGUGAUUCUAUGAUGACAGAUGAUGUGCUCAUUUUUUACUGGCAUUACUCAAGACUUUACUGUGCAAACAAGAAGUGGUGCACACCCCCAAGCAAGCCCCACGGAGGCAAGAUAGGGCUGGGGCUGGUGCCAGAUAGGCUGUCUGUUGGUCUAAGUGGCAGGGAUGUGCACCUGCUAGUGAAGUUGAAAGGUAGAGAGCUUUGGAAGCAGGAGUCUCAAGAAUGGAAAGAGAGACAGAAGUAUGGAAUAGAAAAGGAUACGAGGUUCUUGGGUGUGGUGGGUGGCUGGAGAAGUUGGGGGCAGAAAGGAGAGACGGCAUUGGAGCAUGGGUUAGCGCAGCAGCACCAACAAGCUAUGCUUGUGCUUGUGCCAAGCCCCAAGUGACCCAGCAGCUGCAGCACUGUGUUGGCAGAUGGAAGUCCGUCACAGCCUUCCCACAGCCAGGGCAACUCCCCACAGCAUUCCUGCCACCUCCAACUUGAGCCGCCCUGCUGUGUCCCUAAAUGAAGGCAGUACCCAAGUAACUAAAAAGAUUCCUACUGAAACUGUAAAUCGAUGUCUGCCUUCUGAGCACUGAAGAAACACACUCACAUCCUGGGACUUAGUAAACCACAACAGACUUUUCAAAACGGUAUAUUAAUAAUGAGAUUUCUGUUUUAAACUGCCUUCUUUUCUCAACUCUUUGGCUAUUCUUUCCCAGAAGAGCAGUACUGAGCAGGCAGUAAGAUAUUCUAGACAGUUACUGUGGCAGACAAUUCAAGCCAGACUUUCCAUGGAUGCAGAUUUGUGUAGCUUCACUUGCAUCUGCUCUGCGGUGGUCACUUAUGAGCUGCAGAAAACUGCCUCCUGAAACACAACUCUUUAUUUUGCCUGAGAGGGCAAUGGCUGAGAAUCCAAAGAUCUUCUUAUCAGACUACCUUCUGUUUUUAGAAAUCCGCGUAUUUGGAUUUCUGCACAAUUCUGCCCUUAGAAAAUGUAAAUAUUUUGUUUUAGUGGCACCCUCUUAAAGAUUACUAUAUGUGUAUGUAUAUACGUAUGCAUGUGUUUGAUUAUAUCUGCAUAUAUACAAGUGUAUACACACUCCUUAACAUCCGUUCACAGACCAAAAGCAUAUCUGAGGUGUGUAGCUAUCCAGAUAUUCACAGCACUAUUUAACCUCAAGAUUUUCCCUGUAGUCUAAUGAGGUAACCUUCUUUCCUUGCUCAGCCCAUUGUCCUCUACAGCUCCCCUCCUUCCUCCUUUCCAUUCUCAUGGUAAAGUCAUUGGAAGGAUGGCCGAGCAGAGAUUUGAAUACUGAUUCCACAGACCUGUACAUUACUUGGGUUCCAAAUUCCCAGCGGUUCGAAACAAUGAUCUGUAUUUAUUUGCCUGACAAUGAAGGGGAUAAUUCAGUGCAUGACCCUGUGAAAAUUGGAUGAACAUGUUUGAAUUUGCUAUAAUAUGUGAUUAUGAUCAGACAACGUAGUCUGUCACUUUUAAUAGCCCCGAUGAGUGCAAAAGAACACAGGUGUUCACACAAACUUGUUAUAUAAUUGUGCAGAGGUUUUGAUAGGGCUAAAAAUGUAGGAGAGAAUAGAACUAUAUUUCUAG
ensembl:lncRNA